GGGGAUGUAGCUCAGUGGUAAAGCACUUGUUUAUCAUACACAAGGUCCUGGGUUCCAUCCCUAGUACCACUU
rnacentral:tRNA from 1 species